UACGGGGGGGGCAAGCGUUGUUCGGAAUUACUGGGCGUAAAGGGCUCGUAGGCGGCUAACUAAGUCAGACGUGAAAUCCCUCGGCUUAACCGGGGAACUGCGUCUGAUACUGGAUGGCUUGAAUCCGGGAGAGGGAUGCGGAAUUCCAGGUGUAGCGGUGAAAUGCGUAGAUAUCUGGAGGAACACCGGUGGCGAAGGCGGCAUCCUGGACCGGCAUUGACGCUGAGGAGCGAAAGCCAGGGGAGCAAACGGG
rnacentral:rRNA from 1 species